AGGAUUAUAGUUAAUAAUAACAUUUAAUUUGCAAUUAAAAAGUAUUGAUUAUUCAAUUUAUCUUU
rnacentral:tRNA from 1 species